GACGAACCGUGCGAACGUUGUUCGGAAUCACUGGGCUUAAAGGGCGCGUAGGCGGCUUGCCAAGUCGGGGGUGAAAUACUUCAGCUUAACUGGAGAAGUGCCUUCGAUACUGGCAGGCUUGAGGGAGGUAGGGGUCUGCGGAACUUCUGGUGCAGCGGUGAAAUGCGUUGAUAUCAGAAGGAACGCCGGUGGCGAAAGCGGCGGACUGGACCUCUUCUGACGCUGAGGCGCGAAAGCUAGGGGAGCAAACGGG
rnacentral:rRNA from 1 species